rnacentral:misc_RNA from 1 species
GAUGAAGAACGUAGCGAAAUGCGAUAAGUAGUGUGAAUUGCAGAAUUCAGUGAAUCAUCGAAUCUUUGAACGCACAUUGCGCCCUUUGGUAUUCCUUAGGGCAUGCCUGUUCGAGCGUCAUUUAAACCUUCAAGCUCAGCUUGGUGAUGGGCGACUGUCCUCCCCUCGCGGGGGGACUCGCCUCAAAAACACUGGCGGCCGGUACAUUGGCUUCGAGCGCAGCAGAAACGCGGUCUCGAGCCCGGUGGAUCGGCUCCCAUAAGCCUAUUCUUUUAUUUUGACCUCGGAUCAGGUAGGGAUACCCGCUGAACUUAAGCAUAUCAAUAAGCGGAGGA